rnacentral:lncRNA from 1 species
CUUAGGUGGUAAAGCUGGCUGUCUCGCCACUCACCUCCUGCUAUGCAGCCUGGUUCCUAGCAGGCUACUUACAAGUCCACACCCCUAUUAUAAAGUAUAAUUGAGCAGCAACAUCAUGGAAUCAUGGAACAAUACUUGACUUUCUAGGGGGAAGUGUGAAGGAGUGAAGAGGACAGAGAUGGGGUUUCACCAUGUUGUCCAGGCUGGUCUCGAACUCCUAAGCUGAAGCAACAUGCCUGCCUAGGCCUCCCGAAGUGCUGAGAUUACAAGAAUGAGCCACCACACCCAGCCAAGGAUUUUGACUCUUAUCCUAUGAAUAAUGAGAAGCUGCUGGAGUGUUUUAAACUAGCAAGAAAACUAACAAAGUUUGCAUGUUGGAAAAUGUGCUUGGCAAUAAGCAAAAGUAGAGAGGAUAUAAUGAUAGAAACGAAGAAGAGAGAACAGAAAAAAUGAAAGUGUUUUGAGAACAUGAUGAAUGUUACAUCAUAUAUGAUAAAACAUCCCACAGG